rnacentral:rRNA from 1 species
UACGUAUGGUGCAAGCGUUAUCCGGAUUUACUGGGUGUAAAGGGAGCGUAGACGGAGUGGCAAGUCUGAUGUGAAAACCCGGGGCUCAACCCCGGGACUGCAUUGGAAACUGUCAAUCUAGAGUACCGGAGAGGUAAGCGGAAUUCCUAGUGUAGCGGUGAAAUGCGUAGAUAUUAGAAGGAACACCAGUGGCGAAGGCGGCUUACUGGACGGUAACUGACGUUGAGGCUCGAAAGCGUGGGGAGCAAACAGG